CUACCGAUAAAUCAAAUGCUGCUACUUUGCAUGAGAAGAAUUAAAAGAUAGUCUGAAGCAGUUUUUAUAGAAAGAAGACAAAAGCAGUCAUGAGUCAUGCUGUGGUCCAGAAACCUAAUAGCAGAUGGCCAACUGGGACACUGAAAUUUCUGUACUGCUACUGCCUAUGUUUCUAUCACAACAAAUAUCCUGAUCCCUCACUGUUAAGGAUUCAGAACUGUCCUCCAAGUUUUAUUGGACUGGUCCGGUUCUACCCUCUUUCUUACUUGCAGUUUUCAAGAAUAAGUGUAGAAUGUGCUGGGAAUGGAAUAUCCUGAUAUCAGAAGAGAAUGGUAGAACAGCCCAGACUUAACAGUCUUCACAAGAAAUACAAUCUCUCAACACUUUUGGUCAGUGAGUCAGGUGAUCCUGGGCUAUAAAACCUGGGCUGGGCUAUUUUCUGGAGUCUCUUAACUGUGUUGCAAGUGGGGCACAUGCAAUCAAAAUUCCAUCCUUCCAGGCAACUUCUCUGAACCUCAGGGGGACCACAUCACACUGAAUUUUAGACUUCUCAUCUUCGAUCCCUUUAUAAGUAAUAAAUCAACUUAUGUAA
rnacentral:lncRNA from 10 species